rnacentral:tRNA from 1 species
GUCGCAUGGUUUAGCGGUUAAAACGUCCGUCUGUUAAGCGGAGGAUACCCAGGUGUUCGAAUCUUGACGACG